rnacentral:rRNA from 1 species
GACGAACGCUGGCGGCGUGCUUAACACAUGCAAGUCGAACGGAAAGGCCCUGCGUUUGUGGGGUGCUCGAGUGGCGAACGGGUGAGUAACACGUGAGUAACCUGCCCUUGACUUUGGGAUAACUUCAGGAAACUGGGGCUAAUACCGGAUAGGAGCUCCUGCUGCAUGGUGGGGGUUGGAAAGUUUCGGCGGUUGGGGCUGGACUCGCGGCUUAUCAGCUUGUUGGUGGGGUAGGGGCUUACCAAGGGUUUGACGGGUAGCCGGCCUGAGAGGGUGACCGGCCACAUUGGGGCUGAGAGACGGACCAGACUCCUACGGGAGGCAGCAGUGGGGAGUAUUGCGCAGUGGGGGGAAGCGUGAUGCAGCGACGCCGCGUGCGGGAUGACGGCCUUCGGGUUGUAAACCGCUUUCGCCUGUGACGAAGCGUGAGUGACGGUAAUGGGUAAAGAAGCACCGGCUAACUACGUG